rnacentral:rRNA from 1 species
UACGUAGGCAGCGAGCGUUGUUCGGAGUUACUGGGCGUAAAGAGUGCGUAGGCGGUUUUCUAAGUUUGGUGUGAAAUCUCCCGGCUUAACUGGGAGGGUGCGCCGAAGACUGGAAGGCUUGAGUAUGGGAGAGGUAAGCGGAAUUCCUGGUGUAGCGGUGAAAUGCGUAGAUAUCAGUAGGAACACCUGCGGUGUAGACGGCUUACUGGACCAUAACUGACGCUGAGGCACGAAAGCGUGGGUAGCAAACAGG